AGGCAGUAGUCAAUGGACUGGAGUUGGAGGACCAGUGAACUGCUCAGGGUCAUGAAACCUUGGAAGAAAAUAUUUCCUGCUCUAUAGUGGGCUAUCGUCAAACUCCAGCAUGGCAACUGUCUUCAAAAAGUGUUCACCUGCCUUCAUGGAAUGACAGAAAUAAGGGCAAGAUGCUCAAGAAGAUCCUCUGAGAUGUGGCAGGCAGAGCGGGAGAUUGUGAAGCCCCCGUCUGGCCUUCGGACUAAAACGAACUGAUUCUAUAGUGGAUACUGAGAAAAUUCCUUUCAUGUAUUCUGAAAUCAAGUGCAAGGAACAUGGAAUUUCAUCUACAAUGACAGUGACUGCUUGAAAGGAAAAGUGAGCAUCUGCUACAUGUGAUACCUGCUGCUGUCCUAGGGGGUGGGCUAUAAAUAAGACACAAAGUCCAGCAAAGGCUACGCUGGGUUGAAUUAUGACCAGAACAACAUGGUUUGAUGAAGUCAAUCUGAGAACUGGAUUUGGCCCUUAUUAGAGAUUUUCUAUCCCACAGAAAUACUACUGGUCUUUGAUUAUACAGAAGAGGAGAAAGGAGUUCCAGGAAGGCAGAUGUGUCUUGCUCAAGAUCACUCAGCUGGUUGUCACUACUGAGUGCAGGUUCGUCCCUACUGGAUCCUCUGUGGUGUUUUGUAGAGGCAAGGAGAGGGGAGUCAGUAAGAAAUAGGAAAAAGGUGGCUAAGCUAUUGGAAGAAAGAGAGAGGACAUUUGUUUCUUAGAGUGAGUAGUGUGAGGGAGGCCCUGGGGAGACUAUUAUUCCCUGGGAGUGCUCCAUGUGUGCUCAAAACCACUGUAUUAUAUGAAGUUGAUCCUCGGAUAUUAUCACUAUUGUGAGCUAAAACCAGAUGUGACCCUUUCCAGGAAAUUGCCUGUUCUUGUUAUCUGAGGGAGAACACACAAGAAUUCAGUGGCUCGAAGAACAUUGAGGGUUACUUCUUUCUCUCACUUCACAGUCUGUGGUGAGUGGUGCACUUACGGACUCCACAAGGUUACUCAGCCUUAGACAGAUCUGCUGACCAAAGCUGAGAUGUGGGCACUUCUGGAUUCCAGAAAGAAUAUGGAAGAGCAUAUGGAAGUAUUCUAUCAGGUUGUUGGAAAAGUCAUGAUGCAUUUUUG